UUCAAUUUUCAUCAAGGAGACUCAGAGAGGCCCUUUUUCUGUUGUUCACUUCUGCUCUAUCUUCAGGACCUCAAAAGAAUGGCCUUUAUGACUCCCUGCACCUCUGUGGUAUGGAUCCAGCAUUGAAUGAGAGUUCCUGUUUCUCCACAUCCUUUCUUGGAUUUGAUGUUUUGGAUUUUGGCCAUGCAAAUAGGUGACUUUGUAUGUGUUCUACAGCUUGCUGUGAGAAUGGAUGUAAACAAGAAAGAAGCUCCUUCAUGAUGUAGGCAUCAUAAAUCUGCUGACUUCUACACUGGCGAUCUUCCUCAUUGUCAAGCUUCUCAUAUUCCUUUAUCUCUUCAUAAAACUUCACCUGAGGUUAUUUAAUUUCUCUCCUCAAGAUAUUUCUGCAUUGUGCUCUGGAUACUGGGCUCUGGCAGGACGAUCUUCUUGCUGGAGCAGGCAGUUGGUAUCGCCUUGCUCUUCUCCAUGGACAUCAAGUAGCUGACAUUGGCCAGCACGGCUAUCAGGUCCGCCAUGUUGGUGAGUGGCGGUGGCAGC
ensembl:lncRNA